AUUGAACGCUGGCGGCAGGCCUAACACAUGCAAGUCGAGCGGUAACACAGAGGAGCUUGCUCCUUGGGUGACGAGCGGCGGACGGGUGAGUAAUGCCUGGGGAUCUGCCCGAUAGAGGGGGAUAACUACGGGAAACUGUAGCUAAUACCGCAUAAUGUCUACGGACCAAAGUGGGGGCUCUUCGGACCUCAUGCUAUCGGAUGAACCCAGGUGGGAUUAGCUAGUUGGUGAGGUAAUGGCUCACCAAGGCGACGAUCUCUAACUGGUUUGAGAGAAUGACCAGUCACACUGGAACGGAGACACGGUCCAGACUCCUACGGGAGGCAGCAGUGGGGAAUAUUGCACAAUGGGCGCAAGCCUGAUGCAGCCAUGCCGCGUGUGUGAAGAAGGCCUUCGGGUUGUAAAGCACUUUCAGCGGGGAGGAAGGGUCACUAGUUAAUACCUAGUGGCAUUGACGUUACUCGCAGAAGAAGCACCGGCUAACUCCGUGCCAGCCGCCGCCGUAACAC
rnacentral:rRNA from 1 species